AUACGGAGGAUCCGAGCGUUAUCCGGAUUUAUUGGGUUUAAAGGGUGCGCAGGCGGCCAUUUAAGUCAGCGGUUAAAUCGUGGGGCUCAACCCCAUUCUGCCGUUGAUACUGGGUGGCUUGAUUGCGGUCGAGGUUGGCGGAAUUCGUUGAGUAGCGGUGAAAUGCUUAGAUAUCACGAAGAACUCCGAUCGCGAAGGCAGCUCACCGGGCCGGAACUGACACUGAUGCUCGAAAGUGCGAGUAUCAAACAGGAUUAGAUACCCUGGUAGUCCGCACAGUAAACGAUGAAUACUCGCUGUUUGCGAUACACGGUAAGCGGCCAAGCGAAAGCGUUAAGUAUUCCACCUGGGGAGUACGCCGGCAACGGUGAAACUCAAAUGAAUUGGCGGGG
rnacentral:rRNA from 1 species